GGGACACGUGGUAUCCUGUCUGAAUAUGGGGGGACCAUCCUCCAAGGCUAAAUACUCCUGACUGACCGAUAGUGAACCAGUACCGUGAGGGAAAGGCGAAAAGAACCCCGGCGAGGGGAGUGAAAAAGAACCUGAAACCGUGUACGUACAAGCAGUGGGAGCCUCUUAAUGGGGUGACUGCGUACCUUUUGUAUAAUGGGUCAGCGACUUAUAUUCUGUAGCAAGGUUAACCGAAUAGGGGAGCCGAAGGGAAACCGAGUCUUAACUGGGCGUUAAGUUGCAGGGUAUAGACCCGAAACCCGGUGAUCUAGCCAUGGGCAGGUUGAAGGUUGGGUAACACUAACUGGAGGACCGAACCGACUAAUGUUGAAAAAUUAGCGGAUGACUUGUGGCUGGGGGUGAAAGGCCAAUCAAACCGGGAGAUAGCUGGUUCUCCCCGAAAGCUAUUUAGGUAGCGCCUCGUGAAUUCAUCUCCGGGGGUAGAGCACUGUUUCGGCAAGGGGGUCAUCCCGACUUACCAACCCGAUGCAAACUGCGAAUACCGGAGAAUGUUAUCACGGGAGACACACGGCGGGUGCUAACGUCCGUCGUGAAGAGGGAAACAACCCAGACCGCCAGCUAAGGUCCCAAAGUCAUGGUUAAGUGGGAAACGAUGUGGGAAGGCCCAGACAGCCAGGAUGUUGGCUUAGAAGCAGCCAUCAUUUAAAGAAAGCGUAAUAGCUCACUGGUCGAGUCGGCCUGCGCGGAAGAUGUAACGGGGCUAAACCAUGCACCGAAGCUGCGGCAGCGACACUAUGUGUUGUUGGGUAGGGGAGCGUUCUGUAAGCCUGUGAAGGUGUACUGUGAGGUAUGCUGGAGGUAUCAGAAGUGCGAAUGCUGACAUAAGUAACGAUAAAGCGGGUGAAA
rnacentral:rRNA from 1 species